AUUGAACGCUAGCGGGAUGCCUUACACAUGCAAGUCGAACGGCAGCGCGGACUUCGGUCUGGCGGCGAGUGGCGAACGGGUGAGUAAUGUAUCGGAACGUGCCCAGUAGCGGGGGACAACCACUCGAAAGAGUGGCUAAUACCGCAUACGCCCUACGGGGAAAGGGGGGAGUCGCAAGACCUCUCACUAUUGGAGCGGCCGAUAUCGGAUUAGCUAGUUGGUGGGGUAAAGGCCUACCAAGGCGACGAUCCGUAGCUGGUUUGAGAGGACGACCAGCCACACUGGGACUGAGACACGGCCCAGACUCCUACGGGAGGCAGCAGUGGGGAAUUUUGGACAAUGGGGGAAACCCUGAUCCAGCCAUUCCGCGUGUGCGAUGAAGGCCUUCGGUUGUUAAAGCACUUUUGGCAGGAAGGAAAUCGUGUGGGUUAAUACCUGCGCGGAUGACGGUACCUGCAGAAUAAGCACCGGCUAACUACGUG
rnacentral:rRNA from 1 species